AUGGCGACAGGUGUCCACUCCCAGGUGCAGCUGGUGCAGUCUGGGGCUGAGGUGAGGAAGCCUGGGGCCUCCGUGAAGGUCUCCUGCAAAGCUUCUAGAUACACCUUCACCAGCUCCUCUAUGCACUGGGUGCAACAGGUCCCAGGACAGGGUCUUGAGUGGGUGGGGUGGGUUUACGCUAACAAUGGAAACACAAAAUACGCACAGAAGUUCCAAGGCAGAGACUUCAUGACCAGAAACACGUCCAUGAACACAGCCUACAUGGAGCUCAGCAGCCUGAGAGCCUAG